GUAGUUUUUAUAGUGAUUUAGAUGAUAACACAAUGUUGACUGCUGUACCCCUAUUUUUUUUACCUUUUUACCUAUUGUGUCUGUUUGUUUUGUUCACGCAUCGGUGACAAUAUAAUGGAAUUUGAUGCGACUGUCAUACAAGUGACAGGUUUAGCUAGCUAUAAAACCAGGUUCAAUCCACCAUUUUCUACAUUUGAAAAUGCCUGUACCAAGUCAGGAAUAUGACAGUUCUUGUCCAUUCGUUUUUUAUGCGUUUUGUUAUUUCAU
rnacentral:lncRNA from 1 species